rnacentral:rRNA from 1 species
UACGUAGGGGGCUAGCGUUGUCCGGAUUUAUUGGGCGUAAAGAGCGUGUAGGCGGCCAGAUAGGUCUGCUGUGAAAACUCGAGGCUCAACCUCGAGACGUCGAUGGAAACCAUCUGGCUAGAGUCCGGAAGAGGAGAGUGGAAUUCCUGGUGUAGCGAUGAAAUGCGCAGAUAUCAGGAAGAACACCCGUGGCGAAGGCGGCUCUCUGGUACGUGACUGACGCUGAGACGCGAAAGCGUGGGGAGCAAACAGG